UACGUAGGGUGCAAGCGUUAAUCGGAAUUACUGGGCGUAAAGUGUGCGCAGGUGGCCGAGCAAGUCGAGUGUGAAAUCCCCGGGCUUAACCUGGGAACUGCAUUUGUGACUGCAUCGCUGGAGUGCGGCAGAGGGGGAUGGAAUUCCGCGUGUAGCAGUGAAAUGCGUAGAUAUGCGGAGGAACACCGAUGGCGAAGGCAAUCCCCUGGGCCUGCACUGACGCUCAUGCACGAAAGCGUGGGGAGCAAACAGG
rnacentral:rRNA from 1 species